GACGUAGGGCGCGAGCGUUGUCCGGAUUUAUUGGGCGUAAAGAGCUCGUAGGCGGCUUGUUGCGUCGUCCGUGAAAACCUGGGGCUCAACUCCAGGCUUGCGGUCGAUACGGGCAGGCUAGAGUUCGGUAGGGGAGACUGGAAUUCCUGGUGUAGCGGUGAAAUGCGUAGAUAUCUGGAGGAACACCGGUGGCGAAGGCGACAUCCUGGACCGGUAUUGACGCUGAGGCGCGAAAGCCAGGGGAGCAAACGGG
rnacentral:rRNA from 1 species